GGAAUUGUUCGCAAUGGGCGCAAGCCUGACGACGCAACGCCGCGUGGAGGAUGAAGAUCUUCGGGUCGUAAACUCCUGUCGAGUGGGAAGAAUAGUUGCGGGGUAAGUAUCUCCGGAGCCUGACGGUACCACUAAAGGAAGCCCCGGCUAACCCCGGGCCAGCAGCCGCGGUAAUACGGGGGGGGCAAGCGUUGUUCGGAAUUACUGGGCGUAAAGGGCUCGUAGGCGGCCAACUAAGUCGGAUGUGAAAUCCCCAGGCUCAACCUGGGAACUGCAUCCGAUACUGGAUGGCUUGAAUUCGGGAGAGGGAUGCAGAAUUCCAGGUGUAGCGGUGAAAUGCGUAGAUAUCUGGAGGAAUACCGGUGGCGAAGGCGGCAUCCUGGACCGACAUUGACGCUGAGGAGCGAAAGCUAGGGGAGCAAA
rnacentral:rRNA from 1 species